rnacentral:rRNA from 1 species
UUGAACGCUGGCGGCAUGCCUUACACAUGCAAGUCGAACGGCAGCAUGAUCUAGCCUGCUAGAUUGAUGGCGAGUGGCGAACGGGUGAGUAAUACAUCGGAACGUGCCCUGUAGUGGGGGAUAACUAGUCGAAAGAUUAGCUAAUACCGCAUACGACCUGAGGGUGAAAGUGGGGGACCGCAAGGCCUCAUGCUAUAGGAGCGGCCGAUGUCUGAUUAGCUAGUUGGUGAGGUAAAGGCUCACCAAGGCGACGAUCAGUAGCUGGUCUGAGAGGACGAUCAGCCACACUGGGACUGAGACACGGCCCCGACUCCUACGGGAGGCAGCAGUGGGGAAUUUUGGACAAUGGGCGAAAGCCUGAUCCAGCAAUGCCGCGUGUGUGAAGAAGGCCUUCGGGUUGUAAAGCACUUUUGUCCGGAAAGAAAUGGCUCUGGUUAAUACCUGGGGUCGAUGACGGUACCGGAAGAAUAAGGACCGGCUAACUACGUG